rfam:Oryza glumipatula chromosome 1, whole genome shotgun sequence.
AAUAAGUGCAGUUUUGCAUUAUUUAUCUUCAAUAUUUGAUUGUUCGUCUUAUUUAAAAAAAAUUUUAUGAUUACUAUUUUUAUUGUUAUUAGAUGAUAAAACAUGAAUAAUACUUUGUGUGACUAUUUUUAAAAAAUAAUUCAUAAAUUUUUCAAAUAAGACGGACGGUCAAACAUUGGACACUGGUUUCCACGACUGCACUUAUU